GUCAAAGCCUAACGGCUGAACCAGCAACUUGGAGGAAUGUUAUAGCAAUAGCUACUUGUAUCAUUAAUGAUGCAAGCUCGACUAUGUUGAAUAAAAUUCUAGGUAGAAUUAUGAUAAUGACAUUGUCUGCCUAUGUGUCUUGACCAAAUUACGUGCCAGCAGUCGCGGUAAUACGUAGAAGACUAGUGUUAUUCAUGUUUAAUCGGUUUAAAGGGUACCUAGACGGUGAAUCAAGCUUUAGAAUAAAGAAGAAAAGGAACUAAUUCGCUAGAGUUACUUACGAGGGGGUAGUAAAGUACUGCUGGUGUAGAGAUGAAAUUCUGUCAUACCUCUUUUCGAAAGAAAAAUUAUGGCACAGGUAUAGGCGAAGGCAUCCCCUUAUGUGAUAACUGACGUUGAGGGACGAAGGCUUCGUGGAACAAACAGGAUUAGAUACCCUAGUAGUUGAAGCAGAAAAUGAUGAAUGUCAUAGAUUAGACGUCUAAGUUUAUUCUAUAAAUGAAAGUGUAAGCAUUCCACCUCAUGAGUAAUUUGGCAACAUUGGAAUUGAAAUCAUUAGACCGUUUCUGAAACCAGUAGUGAAGUAUGUUGUUUAAUUUGAUAAUACGCAAAAAACCUUACCACAAUUUGAAUAUUUAUAUUGUUUAUUGUUAUCUUAUUAAUUUUCUUAAAAAAACUAAUUAUAGCAAAAGCAUUUUAAAACAGGAAAAGAAAAUUAAUCAAGAGGCAAUAACAUAUAUCUACAAGCGUUGCACGGCUGUCUUCAGUUAAUGUCGCGAGACUUUGGUUAGUUCCAUUAAAUUAACGUAAACCCUUACUUUAUUUUUUAUAUAGAGUAGUUCCCCGCUAUAUUGGAUAUGAUAACAGGA
rnacentral:rRNA from 1 species